rnacentral:rRNA from 1 species
CCUACGGGUGGCAGCAGUGAGGAAUAUUGGUCAAUGGGCGGGAGCCUGAACCAGCCAAGCCGCGUGAGGGAAGAAGGUACAGCGUAUCGUAAACCUCUUUUGUCAGGGAACAAAGGCUGGGACUAGUCCCCGGAUGAGGGUACCUGAAGAAAAAGCAUCGGCAAACUCUGUGCCAGCAGCCGCGGUAAUACGGAGGAUGCGAGCGUUAUCCGGAUUUAUUGGGUUUAAAGGGUGCGCAGGGGGCCUGUUAAGUCAGCGGUAAAAGCCCGGGGCUCAACCCCGGAGAGCCGUUGAAACUGGCGGGCUUGAGUUGGAGAGAGGUAAGCGGAAUGCGCGGUGUAGCGGUGGAAUGCUUAGAUAUCGGGAAGAACCCCGGUUGCGAAGGCAGCGUACCGGCUCCACACUGACGCUGAGGCACGAAAGCGUGGGUAUCGAACAGGAUUAGAUACCCGAGUAGUC